AACGAACGCUGGCGGCAUGCCUAACACAUGCAAGUCGAACGAGACCUUCGGGUCUAGUGGCGCACGGGUGCGUAACGCGUGGGAACCUGCCCUUAGGUUCGGAAUAACUCCCCGAAAGGGGUGCUAAUACCGGAUAAUGUCUUCGGACCAAGGAUUUAUCGCCUUUGGAUGGGCCCGCGUUGGAUUAGCUAGUUGGUAGGGUAAAAGCCUACCAAGGCGACGAUCCAUAGCUGGUCUGAGAGGAUGAUCAGCCACACUGGGACUGAGACACGGCCCAGACUCCUACGGGAGGCAGCAGUGGGGAAUAUUGGACAGUGGGCGAAAGCCUGAUCCAGCAAUGCCGCGUGAGUGAUGAAGGCCUUAGGGUUGUAAAGCUCUUUUACCCGGGAUGAUAAUGACAGUACCGGGAGAAUAAGCUCCGGCUAACUCCGUG
rnacentral:rRNA from 1 species